GACGAACCGUGCGAACGUUAUUCGGAAUCACUGGGCUUAAAGCGCGUGUAGGCGGAUGGGAACGUCGGUAGUUGAAAGCCCCCGGCUCAACCGGGGAAGUGGUGCCGAAACGACCCGUCUGGAGGGACGUAGGGGGAUCUGGAACUUCCGGUGGAGCGGUGAAAUGCGUUGAGAUCGGAAGGAACGCCCGUGGCGAAAGCGAGGUCCUGGACGUCUACUGACGCUGAGACGCGAAAGCUAGGGGAGCAAACGGG
rnacentral:rRNA from 1 species